rnacentral:rRNA from 1 species
AUUGAACGCUGGCGGCAUGCUUUACACAUGCAAGUCGGACGGCAGCACAGAGAAGCUUGCUUCUUGGGUGGCGAGUGGCGAACGGGUGAGUAAUAUAUCGGAACGUACCGAGCAGUGGGGGAUAACUAAUCGAAAGAUUAGCUAAUACCGCAUAUUUUCUGAGGAAGAAAGCAGGGGACCAUUUGGCCUUGCGCUGUUUGAGCGGCCGAUAUCUGAUUAGCUAGUUGGUGGGGUAAAGGCCUACCAAGGCGACGAUCAGUAGCGGGUCUGAGAGGAUGAUCCGCCACACUGGGACUGAGACACGGCCCAGACUCCUACCGGGAGGCAGCAGUGGGGAAUUUUGGACAAUGGGCGCAAGCCUGAUCCAGCCAUGCCGCUGUGUCUGAAGAAGGCCUUCGGGUUGUAAAGGACUUUUGUCAGGGAAGAAAAGGGCGGGGUUAAUACCCCUGUCUGAUGACGUACCUGAAGAAUAACC